rnacentral:rRNA from 1 species
AGAGCGAACGCUGGCGGCAUGCUUAACACAUGCAAGUCGCACGGGCAGGGGAAACCCUGUCAGUGGCGGACGGGUGAGUAACGCGUAGGUAUCUAUCCUUGGGUGGGGGACAACUGUGGGAAACUACAGCUAAUACCGCAUGAUAACUGAGGUUUAAAGGCGCAAGUCGCCUGGGGAGGAGCCUGCGUACGAUUAGCUAGUUGGUGGGGUAAAGGCCUACCAAGGCAACGAUCGUUAGCUGGUCUGAGAGGAUGAUCAGCCACAUUGGGACUGAGACACGGCCCAAACUCCUACGGGAGGCAGCAGUGGGGAAUAUUGGACAAUGGGCGAAAGCCUGAUCCAGCAAUGCCGCGUGUGUGAAGAAGGUCUUCGGAUUGUAAAGCACUUUCGACGGGGACGAUGAUGACGGUACCCGUAGAAGAAGCCCCGGCUAACUUCGCGCCAGCAGCCGC